rnacentral:rRNA from 1 species
AUUGAACGCUGGCGACAUGCCUUACACAUGCAAGUCGAACGGCAGCACGGGUGCUUGCACCUGGUGGCGAGUGGCGAACGGGUGAGUAAUACAUCGGAACAUGUCCUGUAGUGGGGGAUAGCCCGGCGAAAGCCGGAUUAAUACCGCAUACGAUCUACGGAUGAAAGCGGGGGACCUUCGGGCCUCGCGCUAUAGGGUUGGCUGAUGGCUGAUUAGCUAGUUGGUGGGGUAAAGGCCUACCAAGGCGACGAUCAGUAGCUGGUCUGAGAGGACGACCAGCCACACUGGGACUGAGACACGGCCCAGACUCCUACGGGAGGCAGCAGUGGGGAAUUUUGGACAAUGGGCGAAAGCCUGAUCCAGCAAUGCCGCGUGUGUGAAGAAGGCCUUCGGGUUGUAAAGCACUUUUGUCCGGAAAGAAAUCCUUGGCCCUAAUACGGUCGGGGGAUGACGGUACCGGAAGAAUAAGCACCGGCUAACUACGUG